GCCACACGAGUGAGAAUGCAGGCAUGAGUAGCGAAAGACGGGUGAGAAACCCGUCCGCCGGAUGACCAAGGGUUCCAGGGCCAGGCUAAUCCGCCCUGGGUAAGUCGGGACCUAAGACGAGGCCGACAGGCGUAGUCGAUGGACAACGGGUUGAUAUUCCCGUACCGGUUUACACGCGACCAUGACGAGCCCAGUGAUGCUAAGCCCACAAAGUCGAGGAACUCUUCGGAGGGAAUCGGUGGAGUGCGCGAACCGAACUGGUAGUAGUCAAGCAAUGGGGUGACGCAGGAAGGUAGCUCAACCGCGGCGAUGGUAGACCGCGGCCAAGGUUGUAGGGCGAGAUGUAGGUAAAUCCGCAUCUCAUGCGCCUGAGAACUGAUGGGGAGCCGACUUAGGCGAAGUGAGUGAUCCUAUGCUGCCGAGAAAAGCCUCUAGCGAGUGUGCAAGCCGCCCGUACCCCAAACCGACACAGGUGGUCAGGUAGAGAAUACCAAGGCGAUCGAGUGAACUGUGGUUAAGGAACUCGGCAAAUUGCCCCCGUAACUUCGGGAGAAGGGGGGCCGCGGCUGGUGAUGGGACUUGCUCCCUGAGCUGGCUACGGCCGCAGAGACCAGGUGGAAGCGACUGUUUACUAAAAACACAGGUCCAUGCAAAGUCGCAAGACGACGUAUAUGGACUGACGCCUGCCCGGUGCUGGAACGUUAAGGGGACCAGUCAGUUCUUCGGAGCGAAGCUGAGAACUUAAGCGCCAGUAAACGGCGGUGGUAACUAUAACCAUCCUAAGGUAGCGAAAUUCCUUGUCGGGUAAGUUCCGACCUGCACGAAUGGCGUAACGACUUCCACGCUGUCUCAACCGCAGACUCGGCGAAAUUGCACUACGAGUAAAGAUGCUCGUUACGCGUGGCAGGACGGAAAGACCCCGGGACCUUUACUACAGCUUGGUAUUGGUGGUCGGUUCGAUUUGUGUAGCAUAGGUGGGAGACUUGGAAGCCCGGACGCCAGUUCGGGUGGAGUCAUCGUUGAAAUACCACUCUGAUCGUAUUGGCUGUCUAACCUCGAUCCGUAAUCCGGAUUAGGGACAGUGCCUGGUGGGUAGUUUAACUGGGGCGGUUGCCUCCCAAAGAGUAACGGAGGCGCUCAAAGGUUCCCUCAGCCUGGUUGGCAAUCAGGUAUCGAGUGUAAGUGCACAAGGGAGCUUGACUGUGAGACUGACAGGUCGAGCAGGGACGAAAGUCGGAACUAGUGAUCCGGCGCCGGCAUGUGGAAGCGGCGUCGCUCAACGGAUAAAAGGUACCCCGGGGAUAACAGGCUGAUCUUGCCCAAGAGUCCAUAUCGACGGCAUGGUUUGGCACCUCGAUGUCGGCUCGUCGCAUCCUGGGGCUGGAGUCGGUCCCAAGGGUUGGGCUGUUCGCCCAUUAAAGCGGCACGCGAGCUGGGUUUAGAACGUCGUGAGACAGUUCGGUCCCUAUCCGCCACGCGCGUAAGAGUCUUGAGGAGAUCUGUCCCUAGUACGAGAGGACCGGGACGGACGAACCUCUGGUGUGCCAGUUGUCCUGCCAAGGGCACGGCUGGUUAGCUACGUUCGGAAGGGAUAACCGCUGAAAGCAUCUAAGCGGGAAGCCCACUCCAAGAUAAGGGCUCUCACUGGUUUACCAGGUAAGGACCCCAGCUAGACGACUGGGUUGAUAGGCCGGAUGUGGAAGCACAGCAAUGUGUGGAGCUGACCGGUACUAAUAGUCCGAGGACUUGCUUAC
rnacentral:rRNA from 1 species